CCUACGGGAGGCAGCAGUAGGGAAUCUUCCACAAUGGACGCAAGUCUGAUGGAGCAACGCCGCGUGAGUGAAGAAGGUCUUCGGAUCGUAAAACUCUGUUGUUAGAGAAGAACACGAGUGAGAGUAACUGUUCAUUCGAUGACGGUAUCUAACCAGCAAGUCACGGCUAACUACGUGCCAGCAGCCGCGGUAAUACGUAGGUGGCAAGCGUUGUCCGGAUUUAUUGGGCGUAAAGGGAACGCAGGCGGUCUUUUAAGUCUGAUGUGAAAGCCUUCGGCUUAACCGGAGUAGUGCAUUGGAAACUGGAAGACUUGAGUGCAGAAGAGGAGAGUGGAACUCCAUGUGUAGCGGUGAAAUGCGUAGAUAUAUGGAAGAACACCAGUGGCGAAAGCGGCUCUCUGGUCUGUAACU
rnacentral:rRNA from 1 species